rnacentral:rRNA from 1 species
UGCAGUCGAGCGGUAACAGGGGGAGCUUGCUCCCCGCUGACGAGCGGCGGACGGGUGAGUAAUGCUUAGGAAUCUGCCCAGUAGAGGGGGAUAGCCCGGGGAAACCCGGAUUAAUACCGCAUACGCCCUACGGGGGAAAGCAGGGGAUCUUCGGACCUUGCGCUAUUGGAUGAGCCUAAGUCGGAUUAGCUAGUUGGUGGGGUAAAGGCCUACCAAGGCGACGAUCCGUAGCUGGUCUGAGAGGAUGAUCAGCCACAUCGGGACUGAGACACGGCCCGAACUCCUACGGGAGGCAGCAGUGGGGAAUAUUGGACAAUGGGGGCAACCCUGAUCCAGCCAUGCCGCGUGUGUGAAGAAGGCUUUCGGGUUGUAAAGCACUUUCAGUGAGGAGGAAGGCUCAAAGGUUAAUACCCUUUGGGAUUGACGUUACUCACAGAAGAAGCACCGGCUAACUCCGUGCCAGCAGCCGCGGUAAUACGGAGGGUGCAAGCGUUAAUCGGAAUUACUGGGCGUAAAGCGCGCGUAGGUGGUUUGAUAAGCGAGAUGUGAAAGCCCCGGGCUUAACCUGGGAACGGCAUUUCGAACUGUCAGGCUAGAGUGUGGUAGAGGGUAGUGGAAUUUCCUGUGUAGCGGUGAAAUGCGUAGAUAUAGGAAGGAACACCAGUGGCGAAGGCGGCUACCUGGACCAACACUGACACUGAGGUG